rnacentral:rRNA from 1 species
GUGCACGGAUGGGCGCAGCCUGAUCCAGCAAUGCCGCGUGAGUGAAGAAGGCCUUCGGGUUGUAAAGCUCUUUUGUCAGGGAAGAAACGGUUCAGGCUAAUAUCCUGGGCUAAUGACGGUACCUGAAGAAUAAGCACCGGCUAACUACGUGCCAGCAGCCGCGGUAAUACGUAGGGUGCAAGCGUUAAUCGGAAUUACUGGGCGUAAAGCGUGCGCAGGCGGUUUUGUAAGUCUGACGUGAAAGCCCCGGGCUCAACCUGGGAAUUGCGUUGGAGACUGCAAGGCUUGAAUCUGGCAGAGGGGGGUAGAAUUCCACGUGUAGCAGUGAAAUGCGUAGAGAUGUGGAGGAACACCGAUGGCGAAGGCAGCCCCCUGGGUCAAGAUUGACGCUCAUGCACGAAAGCGUGGGGAGCAAACAGGAUUAGAUACCCUGGUAGUCCACGCCCUAAACGAUGUCUACUAGUUGUCGGGUUUUAAUUAACUUGGUAACGCAGCUAACGCGUGAAGUAGACCGCCUGGGGAGUACGGUCGCAAGAUUAAAACUCAAUGAAAUUUGACGGA